GGCAAGUUACUGGCGAGAAUUCUGAGGGAUAGGAUAUAAAUUAUUUUGAUAGACAAGGGUUGAUUAG